GAGGGGACAAAGGAAGGCAGCACCUGGGUCUUAGUGCCCCCAGAGUUUGUGGGUAAAGUCUCCCCUGUACAGCUCUGGAUCCAGGAGGAGCUGGAGGGAGGGGUAGCCCCAGCUGAGCCUUGUUACUUACACACACACACCCACACACACACACACCAGUGCAGCAGUCCCUGCUUUGGAUGCAUCUGUUUCUACUGGCUGGAUUCCCUGGCUGACUCCUUUCUGCAAUGCACAAAUACUGUGCUUCAUCAGAUUCAGAACAAACACAGCAUGGUUCAGGAACUAUUCAUUCACCAAAUAUAACUGCCAAUGACUCUGUACGCAGAAUUAAUUCCAGUACACCCCAGGCACUUACAUAGCACAUGGUCUAUCAGAUGCAAGACGGCAGUCCUAUCUACCUACCUAUCUACACUUCCUAAAGCACAGUAUAAAGUGUAUGCUGUUUAGGAAAAUUAUCACUCUAAACCACUAACAUUCACCAUAUCGAGGAGCAAAUUCUUCCUUCAAGUGCACACUCCUGACUUCCAGGGGGAGUCAUACAUAUGCAUCAAGGAGCAGGAUUUGGCCCCAAGUGUU